UCGCCGAUGGCGGUCGAGGAAGAAGGAGAAGAGAGGAGAGCAGAGAAGAGAAAUCAAUGCCUCGAUCGAAAUCCACUCGAUUUUGGAAGCAUGUCCGCCUCACCUUGUUGAAUCCCUCCUCCUCCGAUCGAUCCAAGGCGAUCCCCAUGACCGCCCCGACGACGACGCUCAGCGACGGCGAAGAGUACCUCGCCUUCAACCUAGUAGAGGAUGAAGCCGACUCCCUCACCACCUGCUCUUCCACGCCUUCGAUGGCCGACUGCGAGAGUGCGUCCUCGACCCCGCCGCGGAAGUCGGCGCCCCCUUCCAGGUCUUCCUCGAUCAAGGACUAUUCCCUGUUGGGGUGCGGCUUGGCGGGCCUCAUGAAGGUCGACAAGGAUGGGCUACGCCGGAAGGUCGUGAUUCCCGACCGCCUGGCGGAGGCGAUAGCGGAGGCUGUCAGGUCGAGGGACAUUGGGGCCGGUUUGGAAGCGGAGGCUGCGGCGAGGGAGGCUGGAUGGGUGGACGACGAACCGCCGGAGGCGCCCUUGGUGGUCUUCAUUAACUCGCGCAGCGGGGGACGACAUGGCUCUCUUCUCAAAGGCCGGCUGCAGGACCUGAUCGGCGAAGACCAGGUAUUUGAUCUUUCAGUUACAAAGCCUUCAGAUUUUGUUCAGUAUGGUUUGGCAUGCUUGGAGAGGAUGGCUGAUCUAGGUGAUGAUUGUGCAAAGGCUACUCGUGAAAAUCUGAGAAUCAUGGUUGCAGGAGGUGAUGGUACAGUAGGUUGGGUGCUAGGAAGCCUCGGGCAACUUUAUGAAGAGAACAGACAGCCAAUUCCUCCAACUGGGAUCAUUCCUCUUGGAACAGGAAAUGACCUGUCUAGGAGCUUUGGUUGGGGAGGUUCAUUUCCUGUCACAUGGAGGUCGACUGUGAAAAGGUCAUUAUACAAGGCAAUUACUGGUCCAAUUUGCCGUCUGGAUAGCUGGCACAUUGUUGUCUCGGUUCCUGUUGGAGAUUUGAUAGAAUUGCCACACUGUCUCAGACAUCUAGGUGAAAGUACAUUUAUGCAGGAUGGGUAUAUUGAAGGUCUCCUACCUGAAAGGGUUUCUUGCUUUGAUGGAAUCUUCUACAAUUAUUUUAGCAUAGGAAUGGAUGCUCAAGUUGCAUAUAGUUUCCAUCAUCUGCGUGAUGAAAAACCAUAUCUUGCACAAGGACCAUUAACAAAUAAGCUGAUUUAUACUGGUUAUACAUGCAAACAAGGAUGGUUUUUUACACCUUGCAUCAGUGAUCCAAGUCUAAGGGGACUCAAACACAUUCUUCGCUUAUCAAUUAAAAAGGUAAAUUGCUUAGAAUGGGAACAGAUUCCUGUUCCAUCAAGUGUCCGGGCAAUCGUGGUGCUAAAUCUUCACAAUUAUGCAAGUGGAAGGAAUCCUUGGGGUAAUCUGAAACCAGGAUAUAUGGAAAAGCUUCUGCAUUUUUUUCCUAGAGAGGCUUUGUUGAAGCCCAGAUGGACGACGGCCUGCUCGAGAUCUUUGGCUUUAAGCAAGGGUGGCAUGCUUCACUUGUUAUGGUUGAAAUUAUAUCGGCAAAACACAUUGCACAGGCUUCAGCAAUUCGAGUGGAGAUUCGAGGCGGGGAGUGGAAAGAUGCAUAUAUGCAAAUGGAUGGGGAGCCCUGGAAACAGCCGAUGGACACCGAUUAUUCAUCAUUUGUGGAGAUAGAAAGAGUUCCUCAUCACUCACUUAUUAUAAAUGGAGAGUGAACUUUCUAUUCACUGAUUCAGGGACAUCACACCACCGAUGGCAUGACGGCGCCUGGCAUCAUGCUUCUCUUGGAUUUUAGGCAACCAGGGUGGCUCAUAAGCCACAAUUCAACAAGUGAUGUGUGUAUAUUUUCGAAUGCUCUUCUCUGCCGCUCUCGAUCGCGUUAUCAAUGUCCGAUUUUUUUCCUCUCGGAGUGGUCUUCAAUUAUUUGGUAGAUCAAUUUGAUGCCCGUUGGGAAAAUUUUAGAUUGGGUAGGAUGAUAUCUAAAAUUUUAGCUGAUUAGUAAAGUAAAAGUUAAUGUCUAUGAGCAUCCUACUCGAUCGAAUGAUAAAAUUAUUGCAGUGUUAACUCCUUGGUUUGCUUUAAUUGUUUG